UACGAAGGGGGCUAGCGUUGUUCGGAAUCACUGGGCGUAAAGCGCACGUAGGCGGAUCUUUAAGUCAGGGGUGAAAUCCCGAGGCUCAACCUCGGAACUGCCUUUGAUACUGGGGGAUCUCGGAAGUCCGGGAGAGGUGAGUGGAACUGCGAGUGUAGAGGUGAAAUUCGUAGAUAUCGCAAGAACACCAGUGGCGGAAGGCGGCUCACUGGGUCAUUACUG
rnacentral:rRNA from 1 species